ACUGCAGACUUCUUGUAGGAGGAGUGGGAAUGCCUAGAUCCUGCUUUUGCAAAGACCUCCUUUUGAAGGAGUGCAGCAGUCUGGUUUCUGUGUCACACUCCUCAGUCAGUCCUGCACCUGUGAGUCUGAACUAAGAUCCCUGGAUGGUGAAGAGAGGAGACUGUAGCAAAGGAUCCAGGUGUGAGCUUCUUUCAUUUUUGUUCCAUGAAAAGUUCCAGGUACUUUCUGAAGUAUCUCUUUCCCAUAUGAGGGUUUCCCACUGCUCAGCCUGAUCUGCUCACCUGUGAAUCAGAACUCAGAGCUCUGGAUGGCGAAGACAGAGGAGACUGUAGCCAAGGAGCCAGCUGGCCUCAGAUUGCAUCAGAAAACCUUCUGUUACCCACCAAAUAAUCUUGCCACUGUGACACCAAUGGUCUGGCCUUGCAUGGCAGAUUGGGAUUGUAGCACACAGGAUCCAAAUCUGGGUAUUGUAGAGAGAUGGCAUGAGGUGAAUGCUCCCAGCCUGUGAGGUGACUUGAGGAUAUCUGAGAAUCCCAGAACAGUGUGACAAAGAGAAAGCAUACUUUCUCAUCAGAGAAUCCUGUUGUACUGUCAAGUAAGCUGCAUGCCUGAGGAAGUGGCCUUCCUGGUAAUUUCCUCGUGAGAAAAAUCUUUUGUUUUACUUAAACUAAGCAAUAUUUAGAAGAGUUGGAUCUCAGGCAGAUUUCUCCGUCUGCAAGGAGGUUAAGGUCACCUUGAACUCAGAUAAACUACUGUUUGAAAAACAGAAGCUAGUGAGAAUUAGAAGCUGUGAGAAAUCUUUAUUCUGCUUGCCCAUAAAAGAUGCUGGAGAAUUCAAUAA